rnacentral:rRNA from 1 species
UUAUCCUAAAGACUCUCGACAACGGAUAUCUCGACUCUUGCAUCGACAAAGAACAUAGCGAAAUGCGAUACUUGGUGUGAAUUGCAGAAUCCCAUGAACCAUCGAGUCUUUGAACGCAAGUUGCACCCGAAGCCAUUAGGGCGAGGGCACGCCUGCCUAGGUGUUGCACAUCGUUGCCCCAUGCUAGGCACCAAGAGGGGCGAAUGUUGGCUUCCUACAAGCAAUGUCUCACGGUUGGUUGAAAACUGAGUCCGCGGUGGAGGACGUUGUGAUGGAUGGUGGUUGAGCUAAUGCUCGAGACUGAUCGUGUGUGUCACUCCCACUAGCUUUGUGACUCUUUGACCCAUGGGGAUAUGUUGGCCUCCUAAUACGGGAACCUCAGGUGAGGCGCAGCUACCUGCUGAGUUUCAGUAUAUCAAUAAGCGGAGGAAAAGAAACUAACAAGGAUCCCCUUAGUAACGGUGAGCGAACUGGGAAAAUCCCAUCAUGAGAAUCGGUCGCCCUCGGUGUCUGAAUUGUAGUCUGGAGAAGCGUCAUCAGCAGCGGACCGGGCCCAAGUCCCCUAGAAGGGGGUGCCGGAGAGGGUGAGAGCCUCGUCGUGCAUAGACCAUGUUGUACCACGAGCCGCUAUCGGCGAGUUGGGUUGUUUGGGAAUGCAGCCCCAAUUGGGCGGUAAAUUCCAUCGAAGGCUAAAUACAGGCGAGAGACCGAUAGCGAACAAGUACCGCAAGGCGAAGAUGAAGGACUUUGAAAAGAGAGUCAUAGAGUGCUUGAAAUUGUCGGGAGGGAAGCGGCUGGGGGCUGGCGAUGUGCCUCAGUCGGAUUUGGAACGAGGAGAGCCAGUCCGCCAAUCGACUUGGGGCAUGGACUGACGCGAAUUGUGAUGGUGGCCCAAGCCCAGGCUGUUGACAUGCUCAUGAAGACGUCAUCAUCGCGAUUGUGGUAGGAAAUGCGCGUCGUUUCGUGUGCUUCGGCUCCUGCGUGCUCCGGGCGUCGACCUGUAGGCUCCCUAUUCGGCCCAUCUUGAAACACAUACCAAGAAGUCUGACAUGUGUGCGACCUAGAGGGCAAGUAAACCCGAGAAGCACAAUGAAGCUGAUUGGUGGGAUCCCCUUGUGGGUUGCACCACCGACCGACCCUGAUCUUCUUUGCAGGGUUUGAGUGAGAGCAUACCUAUCGGGACCCGAAAUAUGGUGAACUAUGCCUGAGCGGAGCGAGACCAGAGGAAACUCUGGUGGAGGCCAGCAACGAUACUGACGUGCCAAUCGUUCGUCUGACUUGGGUAUAGGGGCGAAAGACUAAUCGAACUGUCUAGUAGCUUGUUCCCUCCGAAGUUUCACUCAGGAUAGCUAGAGCCUGUAGGUGAGUUCUAUCGGGUAAAGCUAAUGAUUAGAGGCAUCGAGGGUGCAACGCCCUCGACCUAUUCUCAAACUUUAAAUAGGUAGGACGAUAUGGCUGCUUUGUUGAGCCACUCCAUGGAAUUGAGAGCUGCAAGUGGGCCUUUUUUGGUAAGCAGAACUGGCGUUGCGGGAUGAACCGGAAGUUGGGUUACGGUGCCCAACUGUGUGCUAACCUAGACCCCACAAAGGGUGUUGGUCGAUUAAGAUAGCAUGACGCUAGUCAUGGAAGUCAAAAUCCGAUAAGGAGUUUGUAACAACUUACCUGCCGAAUCAACUAGCCCCGAAAAUGGAAGGCGCUAAAGCGUGCGACCCAUACCCGGCCAUCGGGACAAGGGCCAUGCCCCAAUGAGUAGGAGGACGCGACGGUCGCUGCAAAACCUAUAGCGUGAGCCCGGACGGAAUGGUCGUCGGUGUAGAUCUUAGUGGUAGUAGCAAAUAUUCAAAUGAGAACAUUGAAGGCCGAAGAGGGGAAAGGUUCCAUGUGAAUGACACUUGCACAUGGGUUAGUCGAUCCUAAGGGAUGAGGAAAGCCCGUCUGAUAGUGCUCUAAGCGCGCACUCCGAAAGGGAAUUGGGUUAAAAUUCCUGAACCGGGAUGUGGCGGCUGACUACAACGUUAGGGAGUCCGGAGACGACGACGGGGGCCCGGAAAGAGUUAUCUUUUCUGUUUAAUAUCCUUCCCACCCUAGAAACAACUCAACCGGAGGUGGGGUCCAGCGGCUGGAAGAGCACCGCACGUCACGUGAUGUUUGCUGCGCCCCCGAUGGCCCUUGAAAAUCCAGAGGACCGAGUGCCUCCCACGCCCGGUCUUACUCAUAACUGCAUCAGGUCUCCAAGGUGAACAACCUCUAGUCGAUGGAACAAUGUAGGCAAGGGAAGUUUUCAAAAUGGAUCUGUAACCUUGAGAAAAGGAUUGGCUCUGAGGGAUGGGCAUGAAGGUCCCAGUCCCUAACCCGUCGGCUGUCGGUGGACUGCUCAAGAUGCUCUUAUGGCGAGAGUGGGUCGCUGCGUGCCGGUCGGGGGACGGAUUGGGAAUGGGCCCUUCGGGGCCUCUUCCCCAGACAUCAAACAGUCGACUCAAAACUGGUACAGACAAGGGGAAUCUGACUGUUUAAUAAAAACAAAGCAUUGCGAUGGUUCGUGACGAUGUGGAUGCAAUGUGAUUUCUGCCCAGUGCUCUAAAUGUCAAAGUGAAGAAAUUCAACUAAGCGUGGGUAAACGGCAGGAGUAACUAUGACUCUCUUAAAGUAGCCAAAUGACUCGUCAACUAAUUAGUGAUGCGCAUGAAUGGAGUAACGAUAUUCCCAUUGUCCCUAUCUACUAUCCAGCGAAACCGCAGCCAAGGGAACGGGCUUGGCGGAAUCAGCAGGGAAAGAAGACCCUGUUGAGCAUGACUCUAGUCCGACUUUGUGAAAUGACUUGAGAGGUGUAGGAGAAGUGGGAGUUGGAAACAGAGGAACUGAAAUACCACUACUUUUAACAUUAUUUUAGUUAUUCCGUGAAUCGGAGGCGUGGUGCAGCCCCUAUUUUUGGACCCAAGGUCGGCCUCAGUCGGUCGAUCCGGGCGGAAGACAUUGUCAGGUGGGGAGUUUGGCUGGGGCGGCACAUCUGUUAAUAGAUAACGCAUGUGUCCUAAGAUGGGCUCAACGAGAACAAAAAUCUUGUGUGGAACAAAAGGGUAAAAGCUCGUUUGAUUCUGAUUUCUAGUACGAAUACUGUUAGGUAUCAGUGACAGAAUACACCUAGAAG